GCCAGGGUGCUGAAAUCGGUAGACAGGCACGCUUUAGGAGCGUGUGUCGUAAGACGUGGGAGUUCAAUUCUCCCCCCUGGCA
rnacentral:tRNA from 1 species